CGAAGGUCAGUUGUCAUCCGACUACGAAGUUGACAUCAUCUCUCGCAAAGUUCAAACCAUUUGUGCAUAAACUCGUGAAGUUUUGAGUAAUUUAAGCACAGCGAAAAUGCGAAAUUUACAUAAGGUUUCGUGUUUCAUCGCAUUAUUUUGUCUGGGGCGUUUGGCUCUCCUAUUGACAAAGGACAGAAAGUCGAUAAAACUGGAAUGCUUAUCUUCAGUCAUGCACUCAUAAACCACAAUCCUGCUCAUUUAUUGGUUCCAGAAAAUGACAAAAAUGACAAACCGAGUAUCACCUUUGUCCCCGAGAAAGUUGCAAAUCUUAUGGCACAAUCAGACCGCGUGCUCACCACCAUACCAAGGUACGCCAGGUUGGCAAACGUUUGGCGGCUGGAACUACCGCAAAACGCAGCGACUGACAUCCUAUGAACAGGCAAGGGCAUCAAUAAUUGUGACUUACUUACAUACAAUGGGCACGUGUAAUCUAGUUUUCUCCGAUUUUGACCGGUUUAGUUUUAAUUUGCACAAGCAGGUAACAAAUAACCCAUAUUUUUGGAUUUAUGGACAUUAUUCUCAUGUAUGUAUGUAUUCUACAUAUAGCUAGAUUUAUACAACUCAAAAUCACGAACCCAUUUGAUUACUAUUUUAAUAAUUAUUUAAUUACUAAAAAGCACUCAAGCAGGCCGAAAUCUAACUCAAACUUAAUACCACUAAAUUAACUACCUGUAUUACGUUCAACAAAAGAAUACAAACUGCGAGACUUGGUAGAAUUUUGUUGCAUUGUACUUACAUGCAUAUAAAUAUGUAAGAAAGUUGCGUAUAAAUUGGAUAAUGAAACCAAUAUUUUUUGUAGUGCUUACAACAAGGUAGAAGGCCCGAGUUCUGCAGUAACUUGAACCGUGGUGGAAAUUGGGAUACGAAUAUACCGUUUUGAUCCCGAAGAAAAAGGACCACUGGUUAGUAAAGAAUAAAAAUAAUACAAAUUAUCUGGAUACAUAUAUAUGUAAUUUACUCAGUUUCAUUGAAACUAAUUAAACAUAUUGGUAUGAUAACUAUGAUGUUAUGCUUAAUAUUUAUUAUUGUGAACAUGAGAAAGUAACGGUACGAAAAUUAAU